AACGAACGCUGGCGGCGCGCUUAACACAUGCAAGUCGAACGAGAACGGCGUAGCAAUACGCUUGUACAGUGGCGAACGGGUGAGUAAUACGUGGGCGACCUACCCUCGAGUGGGGAAUAACCCGCCGAAAGGCGGGCUAAUGCCGCGUACGCUUCCAUCUUUAUGGAGGUGGAAGGAAAGCCGUGCCGUGGGCACGGCGCUCAAGGAUGGGCUCACGUCCUAUCAGCUUGUUGGAGGGUAACGGCCUACCAAGGCUCCGACGGGUAGCUGGUCUGAGAGGACGAUCAGCCACACUGGCACUGCGACACGGGCCAGACUCCUACGGGAGGCAGCAGUGAGGAAUAUUGCGC
rnacentral:rRNA from 1 species